CAAGGAUACCCGGUCAUACCAUGUCGAGUCGAACGGUAGCACAGAGAGCUUGCUCUCGGGUGACGAGUGGCGGACGGGUGAGUAACGUCUGGGAAACUGCCCGAUGGAGGGGGAUAACUACUGGAAACGGUAGCUAAUACCGCAUAACGUCGCAAGACCAAAGUGGGGGACCUUCGGGCCUCACACCAUCGGAUGUGCCCAGAUGGGAUUAGCUAGUAGGUGGGGUAAUGGCUCACCUAGGCGACGAUCCCUAGCUGGUCUGAGAGGAUGACCAGCCACACUGGAACUGAGACACGGUCCAGACUCCUACGGGAGGCAGCAGUGGGGAAUAUUGCACAAUGGGCGCAAGCCUGAUGCAGCCAUGCCGCGUGUAUGAAGAAGGCCUUCGGGUUGUAAAGUACUUUCAGCGGGGAGGAAGGCGGUGAAGUUAAUAGCUUCACCGAUUGACGUUACCCGCAGAAGAAGCACCGGCUAACUCCGUGCCAGCAGCCGCGGUAAUA
rnacentral:rRNA from 1 species